rnacentral:rRNA from 1 species
AUCUAUACAGUGAAACUGCGAACGGCUCAUUAAAUCAGUUAUCGUUUAUUUGAUAGUACCUUACUACUUGGAUAACCGUGGUAAUUCUAGAGCUAAUACAUGCUAAAARUCCCAACCCUCCGGAUGGGACGUAUUUAUUAGAUAAAAAACCAAUGCCUUUGGGCUUCUUGGUGAUUCAUGAUAACUUUACGAAUCGCAUGGCCUUGUGCCGGCGAUGGUUCAUUCAAAUUUCUGCCCUAUCAACUUUCGAUGGUAGGAUAGUGGCCUACCAUGGUUUCAACGGGUAACGGGGAAUUAGGGUUCGAUUCCGGAGAGGGAGCCUGAGAAACGGCUACCACAUCCAAGGAAGGCAGCAGGCGCGCAAAUUACCCAAUCCCGACACGGGGAGGUAGUGACAAUAAAUACUGAUACAGGGCCCAUUUGGGUCUUGUAAUUGGAAUGAGUACAAUUUAAAGCCUUUAACAAGGAACAAUUGGAGGGCAAGUCUGGUGCCAGCAGCCGCGGUAAUUCCAGCUCCAAUAGCGUAUAUUAAAGUUGUUGCAGUUAAAAAGCUCGUAGUUGAACCUUGGGUCUGGGUGACCGGUCUGCGUCCCCGCAUGCACUGGAAANCCGGAUCUUUCCUUCUGGAGAAUCGCAUGCCCUUCAUUGGGUGUGUCGNGGAACCAGGACUUUUACUUUGAAAAAAUUA